rnacentral:rRNA from 1 species
GAUGAACGCUGGCGGCGUGCUUAACACAUGCAAGUCGAACGGAAAGGCCGAAGCUUGCUUCGGUACUCGAGUGGCGAACGGGUGAGUAACACGUGGGUGAUCUGCCCUGUACUUCGGGAUAAGCUUGGGAAACUGGGUCUAAUACCGGAUAUGACGAUCUCUUGGAUGGGGUUGUGGAAAGCUUUUGCGGUAUGGGAUGAGCUCGCGGCCUAUCAGCUUGUUGGUGGGGUAAUGGCCUACCAAGGCGUCGACGGGUAGCCGGCCUGAGAGGGUGUACGGCCACAUUGGGACUGAGAUACGGCCCAGACUCCUACGGGAGGCAGCAGUGGGGAAUAUUGCACAAUGGGCGCAAGCCUGAUGCAGCGAGGCCGCGUGGGGGAUGACGGCAUUCGGGUUGUAAACUCCUUUCGCAAUCGAAGAAGCCUUUUGGUGACGGUAGGUUGAGAAGAAGCACCGGCUAACUACGUG